rnacentral:lncRNA from 1 species
AAACAAAUCCGACUAGGAACCAUGAGAUUGCAGAUUCGAUCCCUGGCCUUGCUCAUUGGGUUAAGGAUCUGGCGUUGCUGUGGCUGUGGCGUAGGCCGGCAGUAACAGCUCUGAUUAGACCCCUAGCCUGAGAACCUCCACAUGUCAUGGGUGCGGCCCUAAAAGGAUAAAAGACAAAUAAAAUAAAAUAAAAUAAAAUAAAAUAAAAUACACUAACAAAACCUCGAUAAGCUCAUCUUGUCAUGGAUUGGAGACAUAAUUGGGUCAAGUUCAUAACUGAGUCAAGUUCAUGUGUUCACCAAGUAGGCAUAAACUAUAUCCAUGAUGAGCUGGUGUUGUGCAUGGGAUUAAGGGGCUAAGGUGCCCUCCCCAGAGUAAUGCCAAUUAAUCAUUUUCAUCCCUAUUAAAAUUGGGGACUGAACCUCUGUAAAGUCCAAACAUUUACCAACCAACUCAGUCGACUGCUGCCUUGACAGCUAAGCUGAUCUUUGCUUUUUGAUUUCUUAAUCUGAAAAAUACGAGAAAUUGUUUAGCUCACUGGAGGAGCUAUUAGGAAUGUUUUUAUUGCUCCUAAGGUGUGGUGUCUUAGAAACCUCAAGGCCCAGUGGUACACGCAGUACAUAAGACAGGGCAGCAGGAACCCAGAUUUCUAGGCCUGUCUCUGCCAGCAUCCAGCUGUGUGACUUUGGACUCAUCACCUCACCCUUCUGGGCUUAACGCUGACAGCAAGUGAGUGUUCCUUCCAUGUCUAAUACAUCAAAGAUGGAGAGAUGCUUGGAGCAUCAGAGUUUCAAUCUUCUGUCCGCAGAGAAGCUUCUUCCUCUCACUUAAGGCCAUUUUAACCUUUCUCUCACCAGAUUCUAGGCUGUUUGGCUGUUUCGUCCGGAUCUGUCAAGAAGGCACCAGGAAAGACCAUUCCCAGACUGGAAGCCAAGGGCAACCCUGGAAUUGUGAGACCCAAAGCCCAGGGCCCAUCACCUACAAGGAGAAUGAAGACCCAUGACUUGGCCUAUAAGGUCUUCAAUCAUCUGACCGACCACCUGAUGAAGAGUUUCAGCUAUUCUUGGAAGGACAGAUUGAGGCCAGAUACUGAUGGACCUUGAAUGCCGGGUUGAGGAGCUU